GCGGCAAUAGCUGGGAGUUUGAAACUUGGUGGAUAGAGAAGAUACUAUGGAGAAGUGUUUUAGUCUCAGCAUUUCUAUAUUCAACCUCCUAGGUGCUGCGCUCGGUAACUCGGUUCGGUCCAACGAACCCGAAAUGUCUGGAUCAGCUGGAGGUUCUGUGACACUCAGCUGUUCUUACGCCACCAGCGAUAGCUAUGCCUAUCUCUACUGGUACCGUCAGUAUCCGAACCAGGCCCCGCAGUACAUUCUCUGGAGAGGAGCGAAGUCAGCCAGCGGCCAAAGCAACACUGCAAGUUUCGCCCAGAAGAGGUUUUCUUCCCAGGCUGAUGACACCUCCACAGUUCUGAAUAUCACAGCCCUGGAGCUGGCGGAUAGCGCGGUGUAUCUCUGCGCCCUGAGUCUGGCACAGUGACAGAGCCACACAGGAGAGCCGAACAAAAACCCUCCCUUCCCAGCUGCAGAUAAUGCUGUGCACGUUGAGGUUGGAAGCGGAGCCCCUCCGGAGUUUUGCUGCACUGUUUAAAACACACAUUCUGGCUCGGACGUGGUGCUGUCAGAUUACUCCUUCCUAAUCUCUCCAAAGCGCCAAAUUCUUUUGCAAACAGCUGCAUUAAACCAGUGGCUUCCAUAUGAGGAGAGAUGAAUAAAACCGGGACUUUUCAGCUUGGAAAAGAGACGACUACGGGGGGAUAUGAUAGAGGUGUAUAAAAUCUCUACUGGUGCGGAUAAAGUAAAUAGGGAAGUGUUAUUUAUUCUUCUCUUAACACAAGAACUAGGGGUUACCCAAUGCAAUUAAUGGGCAGCAGGUUUAAAGCGAACAAAAGGAAAUAUUUCUUCAUGCAAUGCACAGUCAGCCUGUGGAGCUCUUUGCCAGAGGGUGUUGUGAAGGCCAAGACUAUGCCAGGGUUAAAAAAAGAACUAGAUAAGGAGGAUAGGUCCACCAAUGGCUAUUAGCCAGGAUGGGCAGGGAUGGUGUCCUUAGCCUGUAUUUGCCAAAAGCUGGGAAUGAGCAACUGGGGAUGGAUCACUUGAUGAUUCCCUGUUCUGUUCAUUCCCUCUGGGGCACCUGGCAUUGGCCACUGUCAGGAGACAGGAUAUUGGGCUAGAUGGACCUUUGGUCUGAUCCAGUAUGUCCGUUCCUAUGUUCUUAUGGUUCUCAACCUUUCCAGACUGUAGUUACCCCUUUCAGGAAUCUGAUUUGUCUUGCGUACCUCAAG